rnacentral:tRNA from 1 species
AGGGUUAUAGUUAAUAAUAAUAUUUGAUUUGCACUCAAAAGGUAUCUUCUAAUAAUAGAUUAACCUUA